GACCCAAAUUUUCAAUCUUCAAAGACGAAUGUGUGUAUACAUAUAUUAUAAUGUGAUGAUAAAAUAUGUAUUAAUGCUCAUGAUCGUAUUCACAUGUGAGCAAGACGACAGAAAUUAAUAAACAUAUAUAACUUUAUAUAUAUCAGCAUCUAAGAAGAUAAAAACAGUAAUGGAUAUAAAAUGAAUAAUUAAAUGGAUUGUGUAUGAGUGAGACAGGCUUGGAGGAGUCCCCCGCGUGUUUGGAUAGACAUCAAAGGGGCAGAAGGCGCAGGGCAUUGGUUUCAUUCAGAUAGAGAAAACCUGGUUCCACCAAUCAGAAAAUCCCUCUGAAUUUUAUCUGUUUUUGCCUCCAUUUUCUUGAAAAUGUUUGAUGGGCUUUGGGUUUAUGACCCUUCUUCCACCUAAAUUCGUGAUCCAAAGUUUCUCUCUUUUCAUCUCUUGGAUUCCAUUCACUAAUUUAUAUAGGGGAACCGCAGACAAAAGCAAGUAUUACUCAAAUCUCCGUGGAAAGAGAUUGCGAAGGUGUUUGGAAAUGUAUGUUACAAUAUCAAUCUUAGGGGUUUGUGUGCUGCGGGUGUCCAACCAUACCGUAUGUGCCGUUUGAGAUCUUUGGAAACCGCAAACUACAUUGUGAAGAAUCUAAACUGCAUUAUGUGGUGCGGUACCGAUGGUUUUGAUACGGUUUGUUGAAUAACUAAAAAGAAAUAGUUUUACA